AUCUGCUCCAAUCAUGCACU
rnacentral:snRNA from 1 species